AUUACGGGCUGAUAAUGGGCUAAUGAGGGGCUGAUUGCGGGCUGAUAACGGGCUGAGCACCGCGGGAAGGUGGGCUCAUUACCGGCUAAUUACGGGCUAAUUACGGGCUGAUAAUGGGCUAAUGAGGGGCUGAGCACCGCGGAAAGCUGGGCUCAUUACCGGCUAAUUACGGGCUAAUUACGAGCUGAUAAUGGGCUAAUGAGGGGCUGAUUGCGGGCUGAUAACGGGCUGAGCACCGCGGAAAGGUGGGCUCAUUACGGGCUAAUUACGGGCUGAUAAUGGGCUAAUGAGGGGCUGAGCACCGCGGAAAGGUGGGCUCAUUACGGCCUCAUUACGGCCUCAUUACGGGCUGAUAAUGGGCUAAUGAGGGGCUGAUUGGGGGCUGAGCACCGCGGAAAG
ensembl:lncRNA